rnacentral:lncRNA from 1 species
UCUCUCUUUCUUUCUUUUUAAAAUUAAUUUAUUUAUUUUAUGUAUAUAAGUACACUGUAGCUGUCUUCAGACACACCAGAAGAGGAUCAUGGGAUCCCAUUAUAGCUGGUUGUGAGCCACCAUGUGGUUGCUGGGAAUUGAACUCAGGAAGAGCAGUCAGUGAGCCAUGUCUCCAGAUGCACGCAAGCUGAAACUUUCUUACUUUAAGCAUACCCUCUCUUCAUAGGCCUUCACUGAUGUGUAUGCAAUAUAGUGAAACAGAAGGCGAUUGUUGUCCUUAUAAAUAAAACUUCAUUGGCUAUACUAAAUAAUUAAUGUAUGUUCAAAUAGUUUUUUUUUUAAAAAUAGAUUUAAAUUUUUUUUUCAUAUAUGGUGUCUUGCCUGCAUGCGUAUAUAUCCACCACACAUGUGCCUGUUGCCUGUGGAGCUAAGGUGGGUAUUGAACCACUGCCGUGUGAGUGCUUGGAACUGAAUCUGGGUCUUUUGUAAGAAGAACAACGGUUUCUAAUUGUUGAGGCAUCUUUUCAGGCCCCUUCUCUUUUGAUAGUCUCUGAAGCUAGGCAUAUAAUUAAGGUUGUCAGUGACUGCCCUUGAUUCUUUUUUAAAAUUAAUCAAACAUUUAUUGAGUGAUAGCGCCCUGCUGAGUAGUUCAUCCUUAUAUAAGAAUCGAAGACAUCAAGCUCCACUUGACAUCUUUAGCCUUAGCUGGUUCUUAAGGCCUCUAUUGUAUAAUGUCAUGCUUUGUAUCAGAAUACUUUUUUUCCUUUUUAGACAGGGAACCAGAACCAGAACCAGCACUGGCAUUCCACCCAGGCUAGCCCCAAAGGCACAGCAAACUUCCUGCCUCAACUCCAUGAAGUGCUAGGAUCACAAACAUGAAAUUUUAUUGAAAUAAUUUUUUUAACAAAAGUACAAGUCCAGACAUGAGUUUUCAGUACUUCUUAGAGACUCAACUAUUUGUAUAGAGUACAGUAGAUUCUAUCUUGUAAUUGCCUGCCAAGUUUAAAGUAUGUUAUUCUUUUAGAGUAAGAAAGAUGGGAGAGGUUCGACUGAGGAGUCACUUCUGUUGAAUAUCAUCUGGGCUCAACCUAGAAAAAAGGAGGCCUGUCCUACCAUCCGGAGACGUUGGCUCUGAGAGACCCAAUAUGGCAGUGAAGAAGGCGAAGUUCAGGAAAUAAGCUGAGACGCUUAUCUAUGAGCCCUGGGUAAAUUUUUGGCUGAUAUUCCAAUUUGGAGCUUUGCUGUGUGCAUACGACACUGCAUAUCUACAUUUAACUCAAUUGGAUCCAAACACAAUCAAAGUUAAAAUUCCCCAUUACACCAAACAGUUUUUGGGUUCUCAGUCGUCACAGUGGUUAGCAGCUAACACAAUGGAAAAUGUAGGCAGAGGACAGUAGGCAACUUCUUUUGUCUUUAGUAAAAGAAUCCAUGAUAAUUAAAAUAAUAGUGUCUACCUUGUGUAUCAGAACGAUAAGAGAUAGUAAAGAACUUAGAAAUUUGGGAGAAUUUUGGGUUUCCAUAUUUAGGAUCUAUUUCCGUACUCUGGAACCUGAAAAACUGAAAUCUCUAACAUUUUGGCUUUAAAGCAUUUCGGGAAAGGCAUACUCAGCUUAUACAUGGACGUGUAAGUGUUUUUCAAACUUCCGGUGUAGUGCAGAUGCCCUGGUGUCAUGUCAUUUGACCCUCCUUCCUCUGCAUGUUUUAAAUGUGAAGAACAGCACAGCUUUAUGUUAAAUCCAAUUGUCCUAAGUGUGCUCGAGGCGACUCCACUACUGUGUUCUAGCAUGUGUCGCAGUGAAGGGACUCAUCCUCAGGAGUAGGCCCAUAGUGAGGCAUUAGCGUUAUGGAACAUACGGUGAAUAAAAGGAGUCCUCGUGUCAUGGCUGUGUGAGCUAGCUGCCCCUUCUAAUCUCGCUCACCAAGAACAUGCCAGUGUUCCUGGCACAUUCUUUGUCUUUCGGAGGAAUGCAUCUCAGUGUUUAAUAUGUUAGAUAGAAGAGCACUGUUGUCAGGAUAUGAUGUGGAUGUUACUUCAUGCAUCCACCGCCAUCUGUAUUUCAAGCUAAGGGAAAUAUCAGAUGCUUAGGAAUGCAGCCUUGCUAGUGUGUUUUGCCAGAUGCAGACCAUCGUAGAAUUCCAUACUAAUGAGUAUUUCAGAAACCUGUUCUUCCCAACAGCACCUAUGAAGUGUAAAUAUGCCACUUAUAACUGAAGGCUGCGAUCUCCUGACUGCUGUUACUGCUGUCUUUAAAUCUGCACUUUUGUUAGGUAUGACCAACUUAACAGGUCUUCUUUUUCACUUAAAAUACUCAUCAUUUCCUAGAGCGCUAAGUAACUCCUGCCGGAAGCCUGCAGUCUCUGCUCCAGGGCUGUACUUUAAUUAAUUCUCCUUUGAAGCUGAGAGGCAGAGCUUCUGCAGCAUGGCUGCUUCUCACAGAACACCAGGUAGGAUGCUUUGUGGCACUGUUUGUUUACUUGAAUGAGAGGGAAGGCUUGAUAGGAAUUGGUGGGGGAUCCUUUUGUUUGGCUAGGACAAUGUGCCCUACACACCUCACUAUCUGUGUUGCAAUCAGCAAUUGCUUUCCUAUUUAGAGUAAUAUUACAGAUAAUAACUUGUUUCCCAGCGAGGUCUAUAGAUUAAGUCCUAAUAUGGCUUAGUAGAUGGAGAAGCAUACAUGCUAGAAUCUGAAGAUGUUCUCUCAGACAGACUUAGUGACAUCUUAUACAGACAACUACAUGAGUUAAUAAGUCAGUGAAGAGUGACUGAUUUUUUUUAUAUAGUGUAAAUCCCAGAUAACUAUCAUAUUUAUGAAAUUUUAAGAUAUUUUGAUUUCUCAGAUUUCCUUCCCCUUUGUAACAACUUUGACAUUAAGCUGGCGAACGUCUAGCAACUGGUAGAAGCUGAGCUAAAUUUAGUUUUGCUCUUAUUUGCAAAAGUUGUGCUGACUUUUAAAAAUCCGUACUGCUCAUUUUUAGUGUUUUUUUUUCCUUUAAUUAAGUAUGAUUUUUAAGUGGUCUUCUAUGAUUAAUUUAUUCUGUUUUCCUUUGUUGUGAAGAGAAUUAAUUAAAGUUAGUUCAUGGUAGUAACAAAAGCAUAAGCCUAAACAUUUAUUGCAGUACAGCCUAAAAAGGCAAAUAUAAUUUAUUUUCCGAUAAUAUUGAAGUAUAAAGGCUGUAAUUUACUAUUUCCCAUCUGCCACUCAAAGCUUUGUAGUCUUGAAAUUACUGUGGAAAGUGACAUUGGAUGCUGUGUGGUUGCUUAUUCUAUUUGUUACGUGUUUUUGGAAUGAUUAAAUACAAAAACACAUUAACAUUCUUAGUGUAUAGCAGGCUACCCUUACAGCAUCUUAGUUUAAAGAAAUGUUGACACUUCCUUAUUUUUACUAUUCAAGAUGAUGGCCUGCCUUUGCUUUAGCUUGGUGUAUAUAGACUAUAAAUAUACCCUUAAACAUCAGGCUGGUUGUGUUUUGAAUGGUAAAUGAAUUUAGUUUUGUGACUGGAAAUAUGUGACAGGGACAUUUGGCCUGCCUGUGCCCUGUUCAUUUUCAGCUGAUUUGGAGAAAGUGAAUCUCAGUGGUGCCAGAUAAUAGUUCUGAAAACACUGCCAGUCCACUGGACUCUGACGCGUGCCCAUUACAACAGGAGAGGUGUGGGCCCAGCUAGUAGCUCAUGGCCAUGCCAUUUGAUUGGAACUCUAUAAUACGUUAAAAAAAGUAAGCUUUUGAGUUAAUAUGAAGUCCGUGGUAGGCUGUUGUGCUGAGACAUUUGUACUUAUAUUUGUAAAAGAGUUGAAUGUUGACCACUUGUCACGGAAUGGCCUUAUUGACUGCUUUCUGAGUUUGCUACAUAGAAGAUGCAAGAGCUCUUUUUCUCCAUUUUUCUAAAAUUAAAGUUGAACAUGUGGCUUUAUGU